GGAGAGGGAGAGGGAGAGAGAGAGGACAACUUUCUUUCUGCAAAAAUGUUUUAUACUCACCUGUUAACAGGUGGCAGGUGUUACGAGUCAGAUGCCAACCAAUAUAAACAACUCAGUUUAUUGCAAAAACAACACAAAAGAGCCAAAGAAACAACCAAAAGGAGGCUCAAAACACUUUCUCUUCAGUGUGAGGUAACAAUGUCCAAAAAGAACUCAAAAGACCCAAAGUUGGGAUAUAAUUUGGAUUAUCCUGGGAAAUAAUCCAGAUUAAAACAAACUUAGUUGAAAAGGCUGGAAACUCGCUCCACCUGCUGGUUGGAGCUAAACAAACACAUGAAAGCUACUAACAGUAACCCACAGUGACCAACGACCACACAAUGCCCCAAAACGUUGCUAAAGCAAAACCACAUUGUAAAGGAGAAGUCACAGCUGCCAGGUCCGGUCCGCGUCAUUAGGGAAAAGUCACAGGCGUCGAGUUCUAGUCCAAGUCGUCAGGGAGAAGUCACAGUCACCAAAUUCCAGUCCAAGGUAAAGACAAAGAGCCAAAGCGACGGAGGCAAGCCAGCAGGUCCCAAAGCAGUCUUCCAAAUACGUCUUCUGAAACAGAGAUCCCAAAAAGCGCCCAACAAAACACCUUGCUGAUUGCAAAGUUACGUUAGCAACAAACUUACUUUUAUCUACAAGUCCUCCUCUGAACUUGAGCCAGCCAACGCCCCAUCCACAGCUGGUUGCUGCAAAUCCUCAUCAGAGCUGGAGUCACCCAACGCCCCACCUCCAGCUGCAGCCCUUCUACGAUCUCUCCAGCCAGACCACCUUCUAUCCAAACCCAUAACUCCCCAGGAUCCAUCUGUAUCUUCUCAGUGCCAUCCCUCAAAUGUACCACUGCUUGUGGGCUCCUCAAGAAUCUCCCAGAUCUCCUGAACCAUAGUCCAAUCCAUCACCUCACUCCCAGAGUCGGACACCCCAUCCUCCUGACUCCCAGUCCCACAAUCCCCUUCAAAACCCUCAAAGGUAUCAUUAUCAGAGGGCUCCAUAAGUACUGUAUUUCCCAGAUUCUCUUCCUUUGUUGCUCCUCAUCAGAGUCUUGCUCACGAGCAUUUUCCUGCCUCUUCUAAUACAACUAGUAGGAUCUCUACUUGAAGACUCCAUCACAACAGCAGGUGAAUGUUCUCUGAAAUGAAAUAAAUCUGCAUCCCCAAAUAAUUUGGAAAUUCUUUUAAAAAAUUGACUGUCAUAUGAAAAAGGUAACACUAAAACCCUUAACAUCUAGGAUUUUGUUUGUGAAGGGAUUUUUUCUCUGCAUGGAGGAGGACCAUAUGACCCUUCCACCCAUUUCUUCAAAUUGCAGAAAGCUUUGCAUUGUUGCUUUGAGUUUCUAAGAGAACUGUUGCUUCCACUGUGGUUCUGUUCAAAGAGACUGCUAAUAUAGGUAGGGUUUCCAGUUCAGGAUUAAACUGGGCCCUGAAGUUUCCCAGCCAGAAUCAGAGACCUCGGGGUGCUGCUGAUGACUUUGUAAGGAUCCUGAAACUCCCAUCUCACUCGCUAUCUUCUCUAUUGAAAUGGCUUUAGGGGUGAUAACACCUAGCAACCCAGGAAACCACUGUGUGUAAAUUGCAAUCUUUGGAUUCAGAUGUCUAUACCUAAAUAACUUUCCAGGCUCACUGACAAAAGUUAUUCAUAUACUUGUAGUAUUAGAAAAAUAAAAUAAAAAUCUUUUUGCAUUGAAAUCAAGAUAUUUUCAUUGUGUACAAAACACAGUCAUAAUGACUGAUUUGUAAACAAUUAUUAACUAAAACAGCCAAUCCAUAGACUUACAACCUAAUUAACGAUAAGUAUGUUAGGGAGAAGCUUAGAGAAAAGAUAGAAGAAUGACAUCUAUGCUAGAUAUCCAUAUUGUCAGUGUAAGCUUCUUUUUUUCAAAUUUAAAUGUGAUUAAACUAUUUAUAAAUUUUAUAAACCACAUUCAUUAAAGCCCCCCCCCC
rnacentral:lncRNA from 1 species